rnacentral:rRNA from 1 species
GACGAACGCUGGCGGCGUGCUUAACACAUGCAAGUCGAACGGAAAGGCCCUGCUUGCAGGGUACUCGCGUGGCGAACGGGUGAGUAACACGUGGGUGAUCUGCCCUUCACUUCGGGAUAAGCCUGGGAAACUGGGUCUAAUACCGGCUAGGAGCCAUUUUUAGUGUGAUGGUUGGAAAGUUUUUUCGGUGUAGGAUGAGCUCGCGGCCUAUCAGCUUGUUGGUGGGGUAAUGGCCUACCAAGGCGGCGACGGGUAGCCGGCCUGAGAGGGUGGACGGCCAAAUGGGGACGGGGAUACGGCCAAGACUCCUACGGGAGGAGGAAGGGGGGAAAAUGGACAAAUGGGCGAAGCCUGAUGCAGCGACGCCGCGGGGGGGAUGACGGCCUUCGGGUUGUAAACGCCUUUCGCUAGGGACGAAGCUUUUUGUGACGGUACCUAGAUAAGAAGCACCGGCUAACUACGUG